rnacentral:rRNA from 1 species
GACGAACGCUGGCGGCGUGCUUAACACAUGCAAGUCGAACGGAAAGGCCCUGCUUUUGUGGGGUGCUCGAGUGGCGAACGGGUGAGUAACACGUGAGUAACCUGCCCUUGACUUUGGGAUAACUUCAGGAAACUGGGGCUAAUACCGGAUAGGAGCUCCUGCUGCAUGGUGGGGGUUGGAAAGUUUCGGCGGUUGGGGAUGGACUCGCGGCUUAUCAGCUUGUUGGUGGGGUAGUGGCUUACCAAGGCUUUGACGGGUAGCCGGCCUGAGAGGGUGACCGGCCACAUUGGGACUGAGAUACGGCCCAGACUCCUACGGGAGGCAGCAGUGGGGAAUAUUGCACAAUGGGCGGAAGCCUGAUGCAGCAACGCCGCGUGCGGGAUGACGGCCUUCGGGUUGUAAACCGCUUUCGCCUGUGACGAAGCGUGAGUGACGGUAAUGGGUAAAGAAGCACCGGCUAACUACGUGCCAGCAGCCGCGGUGAUACGUAGGGUGCGAGCGUUGUCCGGAUUUAUUGGGCGUAAAGGGCUCGUAGGUGGUUGAUCGCGUCGGAAGUGUAAUCUUGGGGCUUAACCCUGAGCGUGCUUUCGAUACGGGUUGACUUGAGGAAGGUAGGGGAGAAUGGAAUUCCUGGUGGAGCGGUGGAAUGCGCAGAUAUCAGGAGGAACACCAGUGGCGAAGGCGGUUCUCUGGGCCUUUCCUGACGCUGAGGAGCGAAAGCGUGGGGAGCGAACAGGCUUAGAUACCCCGGUAGUCCACGCUGUAAACGGUGGGUACUAGGUGUGGGGUCCAUUCCACGGGUUCCGUGCCGUAGCUAACGCUUUAAGUACCCCGCCUGGGGAGUACGGCCGCAAGGCUAAAACUCAAAGGAAUUGACGGGGCCCCGCACAAGCGGCGGAGCAUGCGGAUUAAUUCGAUGCAACGCGUAGAACCUUACCUGGGUUUGACAUGGAUCGGGAGUGCUCAGAGAUGGGUGUGCCUCUUUUGGGGUCGGUUCACAGGUGGUGCAUGGCUGUCGUCAGCUCGUGUCGUGAGAUGUUGGGUUAAGUCCCGCAACGAGCGCAACCCUUGUUCACUGUUGCCAGCACGUUAUGGUGGGGACUCAGUGGAGACCGCCGGGGUCAACUCGGAGGAAGGUGGGGAUGACGUCAAGUCAUCAUGCCCCUUAUGUCCAGGGCUUCACGCAUGCUACAAUGGCUGGUACAGAGAGUGGCGAGCCUGUGAGGGUGAGCGAAUCUCGGAAAGCCGGUCUCAGUUCGGAUUGGGGUCUGCAACUCGACCUCAUGAAGUCGGAGUCGCUAGUAAUCGCAGAUCAGCAACGCUGCGGUGAAUACGUUCCCGGGGCU